CACACCUUUUUAUCCACCUUUUCUCUAGAUACUUCCCCCACCGUUCCAGACUCUAGAGCCACCUUUUCUCUGCUUGACUCCUGCUCUCCCCGUCUCCCUCCUCGCCUCACUCUUCUCUGGACCAAGCAGCUCGAUUUAGGGCUUCACCAUUUCUCUUCGAAUCAAGGUCCCUAUUUUGCCAAUCUAGGUUUCCCUCUCUCUCUGUGGAAAAACCCUAGAUCUCGCCACUGCCGGAGAGUCCAAUCUCGGCCCUUCGAGCUUCAAUCCGCCUUGCUGAUCGCCUCUUCUCGACGCCUCCACCUAAAUCCCUCUGUGGGACUUUGAGUAUUAUCUUCAACAACUUCACUGAAGGACGCACUUUUAGUGAGGUGGUGGUUGAAGCAAAGUCGGCAGGUUAUACUCAGACGGAUCCAAAGGAUGGUCUAUCUGGAGCAGAUGUUUGUAGAAAGGUAUUGGUGGUAGGCUAUUUUAGAGUAGAAACUAUGCAAGCAAAGACAUUAAAUUGGUGGAGGCCCAAGCCCUCAUGCUCAAUGGUGUCGAAGAGCUUGCGGAUGCUGUUAAGUCACCAUGGGACCUAAGUUGGUAGCCACAAAUCAACUGACUCAACUUUAUAUCAAUAUUGGAGCCUUAAAAGUGAUUCAUUCAAGUUCCAAUUUGAACUAUUGGAAGAUGUUUAUGUAAUUCGAAGUACCUAAUUGGUUUUGUACCAAUAUACAUGACUCAAACGCUGAAGAAUACCUGCUUUCUCCCUCUCUCUCAUUAUGAUUGAUGUGGAGAACCAGCCCCGGAGAAGGCUUUUGCCCAGGCUCAUCAAAGAGAAAUCAGGUCUUGGUCACAAUCAUAUAAAAAACAUGAUAUACAAGUUUCAAGAAUACCGCUCUAAAUUGCGCUUCAUGAACAACUUAUACAGAGUUAGCAAAUGCUAAGUUUCAAGAAUACUGCUCUAAAUUGCGCUUCAUGAACAACUUAUACAGAGUUAGCAAAUGCUAAGGUAAUUGUUUCUAUGGGAGUGAAUCUAAUUUAUAAAUUCAUAUUCUCACUGGGUUGUAGCUUUGUUAAUUGAAUUUCUAUCAUAACUUUAACUGUUUUCACUUUUUUUUUUAAUUGGAGUAAACGCAACACCAUAUGAUUUAAAAUACAGCUUUUACUAGCUCAGUUCAUGGGACAACAUCUUCUGCUACCUCAACCAACGCAACGCGUGGGCACUGUUUUCUAGUAUAUACUGGAUGUCGACACACGUUAUGGCAAACUCUACACUUAUGAUUGCCAUGUUAGGUCAUCCUCAAACAGACAAUGACCGAAGCUCGCCUAAUUAGGCUAAUUUCCUGCAUGUCGUUUUGAAUCCUUAAAUACGAAUUGACCCUAUAUGCCUAGUGGCCAACUUCCGUCUAUUAUUGUUGAAUUCUUACAUACGAAUCGAUCCUUAAAGCUUUGUUGUUGUUGUAUUUGGUUGGAUUGGAAGGAAUUGUUGAGUUUUUGCAACUAUAUGAGAAAUUUUUAAUUGUGAUUGGGAAUUAGGGAU
rnacentral:sRNA from 1 species